ensembl:lncRNA
UUUUUUUUUUUUUUUUUUUUUUUUUUUGAGGGCCACACCUGCGGCAUAUGUAACUUCCUAGGCUAGGAGUUGAAUUGGAGCUGCAGCUGUCGGUCUCUACCACAGCCACAGCAACGCCAGAUCCAAGCUGUGUCUGCAAUCUACACCACAGCUCAUGGCAAUGCUGGAUCUUUAACCCACUGAGUGGGGCCAGGGAUCGAACCCGCAUCCUUGUGGAUACUAGUGCUGUUCAUAACCUGCUGAGCCACAAGAACUCCCUCUCCUCCAUUUCUAAACUACUGUGAUACAAAAUUCAACAACUAUUCCAGGAAUAAAUAAUGCCAGUGCACAAAUGCUUCCAGAGAAGAGAGUAGAAGGGAGCCCCUCUCAGCACACAACUCAUUUAAUGAAGCCCUGAUAGAAAAACCAGGCAGGGGCAGAUUAAGAAAGGAAAAUCAAGAGUUGCCAUCGUGGUGUAAUAGAAAUGAAUCUGACUAAUGUCCAUGGGUAUGCAUUUUCAAUCCCUGGCCUUGAUCAGUGGGUUGGGGAUCUGGAGCUGCCAUGAGCAGACAGCUUGGAUCCUGCAUUGCUGUGGCAGUGCUAUAGGCUAGCAGCUGUAGAUCUGAUUUGAUCCCUAGCCUCUUCACAUGACUCAGGUGUGGCCCUAAAAAGGGGGGGGGGUUGGAAAAAUCACAGCCAAUUCUACACCUAAACAUAGAAGAAUUCCAAACAAACAGAAGCAAUCUGAAUCCAGCAAUACAUAAAAAAAAAUACACCAGAUCCAAGUGAAGUUUACCCGAGGAGUACAAGGUUGGUUUAAUACUAGAAAGAUCACCAUAUGUAAAAACUGAAGUAGCAUAAAAGCACAUGGUCAUUUGAAAGGAAAUAGAAAAAAGAAAAACAUUAGAAAUCUUAUAAAAAAAAUUACAAAGAAUGUAGCCAAUGUGCUUACUGAUGAACCUUAAAGCAAUUUCUUUGGGAGCUUUUGAAGGUAAUCAUUUAAACUAGCAUUCCACAAAUAUAAAAUAUCUAGGAAUGAAUUUAUUAAGACAUGUGCCAGACCUCACGAUAUUGAUCUUUGAAGCCAAUGCCAUCCCAGCUACAAUCCUGAACUAGGAAUCUGAGGAAGAGCAAAAAGAACUAAGAUAUUUGAGAGAGAGAAAAAGAAAGAGAGGAAAACAAGGGAGGGAAUUUAACAGCUUCAGCAUAACUACCACAAUGUUAUAGUAAAUUAAACAAUGUGCUGGCAUAGAGGUAAACAAACAGGCUGAAGAGACAGACUUCAUAGACCAGAAACAAACCCAUGGGUUCAGGGAAAUGGAUGAUGGGAGCAGCCCUACAGAUCAGUGGGAAAUAGAGACUAUUCAUUCAAUAAAUUGUGGUCCAAAAACUAUCCAUUUGGAAAAAAAUAAAACUGGACUACUUCACACAAAACAUAAAGAUGAGGUAAAAACUCAAAUGUGAAAAAUUAGAAUCUUUUAGAAAAUAUUUUCAUGAACUCAGACAGGAAGGAGUUUUUAAAACUGGAUACAAAGAGUACAGUCCAUAAGGCAAAAGAGUGGUAGAUUUGGCCAUUAUUAAUGUUAAAACUUCUCUAUAGGAGUUCCCAUCAUGGCUCAGUGGUUAACAAAACUGACUAGCAAUCAUGAGGAUGCAGGUUUGAUCCCUGGCCUCGAUAAGUGGGUUAAGGAUCCUGCGUUGCCAUGAGCUGUGGUGUAGGCAGAUGGCUGCAGCUCCGAUUUGACCCCAGCCUGGGAACCUCCAUAUGCCACAGGUGCGGCCUAAAAAGACAGAAGACAAAAAAAAAAACAAAAAAAAAAAAACAACACUUCUAUAUAGACUGGAAUAAAAUAUUUGCAAUCCGCUUAACUAGUAAAUAACUUAUAAACUUAAACAUUAAAGAACUCUUGGAGUUCCCUGGUGGCCUAGUAGUUAAGGAUCUGGCAUUGCCACUGCUGUGGCUUGGGUUAUUGCUGUGGCAUGGGUUUGAUUCCCAGACCAGGAAAUUCCAAAUGCCAAAAAAAUUAAAACAUUUUUUAGGCACAGCCAAAAAAAUUAAAAUUUCAGUUCAUCAAAACACACCCUAAACGAGUUCCCAUUGUGGCUCAGUGGGUUAAGAAUCCGACUAGUAUCUAUGAAGAUGCAGGUUUAAUCCCUGGUCUCCUCAGCAGGUUAAGGACCUGGCAUUGCAGUGGCGUAGGCCCACAGCUACAGCUCCAAUUCAAUGAUUUGACCCCUAGCAUGGGAACUUCCAUAUGCCUGAGGUGCAGCCCUUAACAACAACAACAACAACAACAACAAAAACACUGUAAAGAAACUGGGCGGGGGGGGGCCGCAGGAUUGGUGACAUUUUGGGAGCGCUGGAACUCAGGUUUGAUCCCCAGCCCCAGCANNNNNNNNNNNNNNNNNAGCCUGGGAACCUCCAUAUGCCAUGGGAGUGGCCCAAAGAAAUAGCAAAAAAAAGACAAAAAAAAAAAAAAAAAAAAAAAAGGGGAUUUAAAAAAAAAAAAAAAAAAAAAAAAAAAAAAAAUGGGGUCAGGGCUGGAGCCUCAAACUGAGAGAAGAUAUUAGCAAGACAUAACAAGCAAAGCAUGCCUAUCUCAAAGAAAGCAAUCUAAUAGAAAAAUGGUGGAGUUCCCAUUGUGGCUCAGUGGAAACAAAUUCAACUAGUAGCAAUGAGGAUGAGGGUUCAAUCCCUGGCCUCGCUCAGUGGGUCAGGGAUCUGGCAUUGCCAUGAGCUGUGGUGUAGGUCACAUACAAGGCUCAGACCCCAAGUUGCUGUGGCUGUGGUGUAGUCCGGCAGCUAUAGCUUCGAUUCGACCCCUAGUCUGGGAACUUCCAUGUGCCUUGGGUAUAGCCCUAAAAAGCAAAAAAGAAAAAUGGGCAAAGGGAGAGCCCAGAGCAAGCUGCCCCUGUGUCCCAGCCAAGACUCCACAGUUCUGGCCAAGACAGUGGGGGCGGAGGUGGAGGUCUUCUGAUCCCGUCUAUUAUUUGUGCCUUGACAACCACCCUGCGGAGGUGAGGGGCAUGUCCUUCACUGUCCUUUUAUGAAACCCGAGAAAGCAUGAGUCUUAAACACAGAAAGACCAUUUGCCAGGGAAUCUGGGGACAGCACACACUCUGCUCUCUUCUCUCAGUGCCUGUCAUCUGGGACAGAACAGAUGACAGUCACAGACGGUCCCAUCGGCCGCCCACAGGGAAAAGUCAGGACUUGGUGAUGCCAGGAGGUUCCAGAUCCCAAAGAGAUGGUUAGCCUGCGUGUCCCCCGCAAACAGAGCCUCUUCAAGUUCCCCGACUCCAUCCUGGCACCUCUCCAUCCUCAAAACCAUUGCUGGAGAUGUCUGAGCAGGUGUCCCCUCUUCAAGGCUCUUCACCAGGGUCUCCCAUAGUGCCAUACCUGCCCCCCUCCACCCCGGCUCUGGCUCCUUCCCAGCUUCCACGCCUCCAUGUGGCCAACCCUGGUGGCAUGUGUCCUUGAAUGUGCAGCUCCAGCUCUCCCCGCCUUUGCCCAUGCAUGCAUGCCGCCUUCAGAAUGUCCUCUCUUCCCUAAGGAUGAGUUCUCCUCUGAAAACCAACUCAGAUGCCACCAGUUCCUCGAAGCCCUCUAGUUAUCCCCAGAGUAAAUGGCUCCCUUCUCUGGGCCACACCAGGGCCUUACACCCCCUCCUCUCAGUUACACAUAACUGGUCUCAGUCUCUCCCAUCUGCCUGACCGUAUCUGCCUGAGACCAGGAUCCGUUCUUAUCCCCUCUGAUACCUGGCGUGUGCACAGGUAUGCGUCAAAAGUCUAAUUUGAGUCUGCAGAUGUUACUUAAAUCAGUGGCUACAGACUGUGUUAAUUUAUUUUUUUAGCUUUAUAGCUGUUUAUCUAUUGUUUCUUUACUGUCUCCAAAUCUCAAAUCCCUCUCAAGCACUGUCUCUGGUCCUACUUCAAUUAUAUGUAUCAUGAAGCCAACCUCGAGAGUUUAUAUGCAUAUGAAUGUAAACAGAAAAUGGAAGUGGUUUUGUUAUGUUUUGUUUCUUUUCACAGCUGCACCAGAGGCACAUGGAAGUUCCCAGGCUAUGGAUAGAAUUGGAGCUGCAAGUGCAGGCCUAUGCCACAGCCACAGAAAUGCCAAAUCCGAGCUGCAUCUGUGACCCACGCUGCAGCUUGCGGCAACACUGGAUCCUUAACCCACUGAGCGAGGCCACAGAUGGAACUUGUAUCCUCAAGGACACUGUGUUGGGUUCUUAACCCACUGAGCCACAAUAGGAACUCUAAAGACGGAGGCAUUUUGUAAUUGAACAUAAUGGGCAACGAUAGAGGGUUGAAGUUCAUAAAUGUUUUUCAGGGUACAUUUUUGUUUUGUCUUUAAAAUACUGAUAUCCUAACAUUCAUUUGAAUGGAGAAAAUUCGAUUAGCCUCCGUUUUUUUUUUUGUUUUUUUUGUUUUGUUUUGUUUUGUUUUGUCUUUUUGGGGCUGCACCCAAGGCAUAUGUAGGUUCCCAGGCUAGGGGUCUAAUCGGAGCUGUAGUCACCAGCCUACGCCAGAGCCACAGCAACGCCAGAUCUGAGCUGUGUCUGUGAUCUACACCACAGCUCAUGGCAAUGCCAGAUCCUUAGCUCACUGAGCGAGGCCAGGGAUUGAACCCGCAACCUCAUGGUUCCUAAUUGGAUUUGUUUCUGCUGUGCCAUGACUGGAACUCCUAGCCUCUGUAUUAAUUAAGGUUUCAAUCUGGGAACAUCUGCGGGUUUUUCUAAACUUGUUUAAAGAAUCAUUAAAAGAUAAAUGUGCACACACAUAUUUAAGAAGCAAACAUGCACAUUAAAAAAAUUAUCUUUCUAGGCUCUUAGAGUUACUUUCAGGAGGGAACAGCAAGCUCAGUGCCUAGGGUUUAAAGCAUAAAUGGUAAAAAAACCUUCUCUCUCAGAACUGCCAAUUCAAAUCUACAUUCAGUAGAAUUUUUGUUCUAUUGCCUGUUUUUAAGAAAUUCAGGACAAUCCCCAGAAAGAUCAAUAUCCAAAUAUGCGAAAGCAUGUCAUUUACAGAAGCAUGCUAAGAAGUUAGAGUAAGUCUUGGAGUCCCCAUCGUGGCGCAGUGGUUAAUGAAUCUGACUAGGAACCAUGAGGUCGCGGGUUCAGUCCCUGCCCUUGCUCAGUGGGUUAAGGAUCCGGCAUUGCCAUGAGCUGUGGUGUAGAUUGCAGACGCAGCUCCGAUCCCACAUUGUUGUGGUUCUGGCGUAGGCUGGUGGCUACAGCUCUGAUUAGACCCCUAGCCUGGAAACUCCCAUGUGCCGCGGGAGCGACCCAAGAAAUAGCAAAAAGACAAAAAAAAAAAAAAAAAAAAGAGUAAGUCUUACAAAUAACAUCUCAUCCUCUAUUCUGCAUUCCUGAGACCACUUUCUCUGAUCUGAAAACAGGCAUUCUUUCAUAAAGAGGAGACUUCGAUAGCAUAUGACCCCACCAAAAAUAUGUGUGCAUGUGUGUUUUUAAAGGAGAGGGAAAGAUUCUAAAAUCCUUAGAAACAUUAAUUUGGGGUGGGAGUGGAAGUAGAUUAAACAAUAUCACAUGAUUGUCCUGUCAUUUAAAUGCAAAGCAGAGAUAAACGCUAAUAAAGAAAGUCAGUGACCUUCUAGAUUAUGCUGUGGGAAAAUUCAAGGCAUUCUGAAAUUCACAUUUGUCUUCCUUCUGGCAUUGCUUGGCCUAUGUCACAAACCAAAGCAACUACUCCAGUUUAAAAAGACCAGAAAUUAACUGUACGCUUCUAAUCUCCAAAUUUCAAAUUUUAUCCAGAAAAGCAUUGUACUUCCUUCUUUCGUCUUAAACUUUCAGUAGCUAUGGGAGCAGAAACUGAAAGCAAAGGCCCUAGAAUCUCUGAAGGAACAACUGUAAUUCAACAAUGAGAAAUCCUUUCAUUCCUUCUGCUUCUAUUCUCCCAAUCUAAUUUUUUCUCUCUCUCACACACAGACACACACAAAAGGACAGUAUCAAGGAAGGAAUCACAAACUUUAACAAAAUACCAAGGAAAAAAUGACAAACGAGAAAAUAUCUUGCUGGCAAGAACUUAGAUAAUGUUUAAGAAGGUAAUUGAAGUCUAAAAAAAGAAUCAUGAGAGUUCCGUCAUGGCACAGUGGAAAAGAAUCCAACUAGUAUCCCUGAUGAUACAGGUUCAAUCCCUGGCUUCGCUCAGUGGGUUAAGGAUCCGGUAUUGCUGUGCUGUAGGUCACAGACUUGGCUCGUUUGUAUCCUGCAUUGCUGUGGCUGUGGUGUAGGCUGGCAGCUGUAGUUCUGAUUCGAACCUUAGCCUGGAAACUUCCAUAUGCCAUGGGUGCGGCCCUAAAAAGCAAAAAAAAAAAAAGGAAAAUUAAAAAAUUUUUAAAAAUCAGCUUUUCCUAUUAUUUAUAUGAUAAUCUUGAAUGCCCGAAAUGGGCUUGAAAAUCAAAAGAAAAAGACAAACAGGGAAGCAAUCAAGAACUGAAGGAAGAUAAUGCAAGUGACAAAAAAAUUAGGAUUUUUUUUUCCUUUUCCUUUUUAUUUAUUUAUUUAUUUUGUCUUUUGUCUUUUUAGAGUGGCACUUGCGAAAUAUGGAGGUUUCCAGGCUAAGGGUGUAAUUGGAGCUACAGCUGCUGGCCUAUACCAGAGCCACAGCAACAUCAGAUUCGAGCCGUGUCUGCGACCUAUACCACAGCUCAUGGCAACGCCAGAUCUUUAACCCACUGAGCAAGGCCAGGGAUCGAACCCACAACCUCAUGGCUCCUAGCUGUCUUGCUCAAUGGAUUAAGGAUCCAGUGUUGCCAUGAGCUGUGGUGUAGGUCGCAGACACGGCUCAGAUCUGGUGUUGCUAUGGCUGUGGCAUAGGCUGGCAGCUACAGCUAUAAUUAGACCCCUAGUUUGGGAAUCUCUGUAUGCCGCAGGUACGGCCCUAAAAGACAAAAGACAGAAAAAAACAACAACAACAAAAAAUAAGUGUUGGUGAAGAUGUGGUGAAAAGGAAGCCCUCAUGCGCCAUAGACAGGAAUGUAAAUGGAUGCAGCCACUAUGGAAAACAAUAUGGAGGUUCCUCAAAAAUAUUAAAAAUACAACCACCAUAUGAUCCAACAAUUCUACUUCUUGGUAUUUACUGGAAGACAACAAAAACACUAACUUGAAAAGGUAUCUGCACCUCCAUGUCCAUUGCAGUGUUUAGUUACAGUAUCUAAGAUGUGGAAUCAUCCUAAGUAUCCAUGAUAGAUGAAUGGAUAAAGAAAAUUACACACACACACACACACACACAGGAAUAUUAUUCAAUCAUAAAAAAGAAGGAAAUCCUGCCAUUUGCAACAACAUAAAUGGGCAUCCUCUUAAGUAUAAUAAGUCAGAGAAAGUCAAAUAGCAUACGAUCUCACUUAUAUGUGAAAUCUAAAACCAAACCAAACAAACACCAAACUCUGAUGCAGAGAACAUGCUGGUCGUUGUUAGAGGCAGAAGUUGGAGAUGGUGAAAUGGAUGAAAAGAGUCAAAAUGUACAAACUUCCAGUUAGGGAUAAAAGGUCCUGGGAAUGUAAUGGUGACCGUAGUUAAUAAUACUGUAUUGCGGAGUUUCCAUUGUGGCUCAGAGGAAAUGUGUCUGACUAGCAUCCAUGAGGAUGCAGGUUCAAUCCCUGGCCUCGAUCAGUGGGUUAAGGAUCCGGCAUUGCUGUGAGCUGUGGUGUAGGUUGCAGACUCGGCUCGGAACCCUCGUUGCUGUGGCUGUGGUGUAGGCUGGCAGCUGUAGCUCCGAUCCUACCCCUAGCCUGGGAACCUCCAAUGCUUUGGGUGCAGCCCUAAAAGGACAAAAAGAAAUAAUAAUAAUAACGUAUCAUAUACAGUUGACCCUUGAACAACAUGGGUUUGAAUCAGGAUUUCUUUCCAACAAAUACAUGACCCACACUUGGUUGAAUGCAAGGAUGUGGAACCUCAGAUACCCAGCCGGGGGAGGUGGGGGCUGGGGUGCUAUAAAGUUCUGUGCAGAUUCUGAAUAGCUCAGAAGGUUGGCAUCCCUAAUCCCUUGAGUUGUUCAACAUCAACUGUCUUUUCCUCUUUGAGGAGAAAGCAUUUGGUCUUUCAUCAUUCAGUAUGAUUUUAGCUAUGGUUUUUUUCCAGAUGCUCUUUAUCAGGUUGAGGAUGCUUCCUUCUAUUUUGGGUAUGUAGGAUUUUUUUUUUUAAUCAAAAGAAGUGUUUGGGAGCUCCCUGGUGGCCAAGUGGUUAAGGAUCUGGUAUUGUCACUGCUGUGGCUCAGGUGUGAUCCCUGGCCUGGGAACUUCUGCAUGUUGUGGGUGAGGCCAAAAAAAUAAACAUAUAAAACAUAAGCACACACACAGAAAGUGUUGGGUUUUGUUAGUUUUUUUUUUCUAAAUUUGAGAUGAUCAAAUGAUUAUAUUGCACAUCUGAAACUAAAGUUAUAGAUAAAUUAUACCUCAGUAAUAAAGAGAUCCAAUCCACUAAAACCUCAAUGCAUGCAUUUUCAAUUUUCAAAAAGCUAUAACAGGAGUUCCUUCGUGGCUCAGCAGUUAACAAACCCAAUUAGGAUCCAUGAGGAUGGGGUUUGAGCCCUGGCUUCACUCGGUGGGUUAAGAAUCCAGCAUUGCCAUGAGCUGUGUAGGUCGAAGACUCGGUUCAGAUCCUGCAUUGCUGUGGCCGUGGUGUAGGCUGGCAGCUGUAGGUCUGAUUCGACCCCUAGCCUGGGAGCUUCCAUAAGCUGCAAGCGCAGCCCUAAAAAUCUAUAAAAAAAAAAAAAAAAA